UUAUGGCCACAUCAUGUUGAAACACCGGUUCCUAUAUGAGCACCGAAGUUAAGCAACGUUGAGCUUGGUCGGUACCUAAAUGGGUAAUCGCUUGGGAAUACCAG